GCUUCAGUAGCUCAGUUGGUUAGAGCAUGGUGCUGAUAAAGCCAAGGUUGCAGGUUCGAUACCCAUACGGGUCAGCU